CUGGUGCUUGCACUGGUGAUUAGUGGCGAACGGGUGAGUAACACGUGAGUAACCUGCCCUUGACUCUGGGAUAAGCCUGGGAAACUGGGUCUAAUACCGGAUAUGACCUUCCAUCGCAUGGUGGUUGGUGGAAAGCUUUUGUGGUUUUGGAUGGACUCGCGGCCUAUCAGCUUGUUGGUGAGGUAAUGGCUUACCAAGGCGACGACGGGUAGCCGGCCUGAGAGGGUGACCGGCCACACUGGGACUGAGACACGGCCCAGACUCCUACGGGAGGCAGCAGUGGGGAAUAUUGCACAAUGGGCGCAAGCCUGAUGCAGCGACGCCGCGUGAGGGAUGACGGCCUUCGGGUUGUAAACCUCUUUCAGUAGGGAAGAAGCGAAAGUGACGGUACCUGCAGAAGAAGCGCCGGCUAACUACGUGCCAGCAGCCGCGGUAAUACGUAGGGCGCAAGCGUUAUCCGGAAUUAUUGGGCGUAAAGAGCUCGUACGCGGUUUGUCGCGUCUGCCGUGAAAGUCCGGGGCUCAACUCCGGAUCUGCGGUGGGUACGGGCAGACUAGAGUGAUGUAGGGGAAUACUGGAAUUCCUGGUGUACCGCUGAAAUGCGCAGAUAUCAGGAGGAACACCGAUGGCAAAAGCAGGUCUCUUGGCCAUAAACUGAAGGCUAAAGAGCAAAAGCAUGGGACAGCGAACAGGGAUCAAGAACCCCCUGGGGACCCCAAGGCCGUUAAACCCUUGCCCCCUAAGUUAUGGGCGGAAGAAUA
rnacentral:rRNA from 1 species